CAGAAAGUGGAAUAAGAUGGCUUUAAAAAUACGGUGUGAGUGUGAGCUACAUAAACCAGCCACAACUGGUUCAUGUACAUCUGAGACUGUAUGUGCUUUCUACAGUAUUCCUUUCCAAAGCAACACGCUCAGAACCCUCAAAGACCUUUCCAGUUCUGUUGGCUCUUCUGUCAGCGAAAGUAAGUUCAUCUCACUCCCGCAAACCGUUCCAGGGGAAAAAUGAACAGAUGAAAUACAGAGACAGUUGAAAGUGGAGCUUAACUAAAUGGAAAUGAUAGAGGUAGCUCCUAGUUGACAAGCCUGGGCUUUGAUAGUUGGGGAUAGUAAUACUUCCGUACUCGUGUGACUCUUAAAUAAUUGAAUAGCGUUAUUGAUCAGCCAUGCAUUACCCAGUGAUUUAAAUAAAGGUUAUGUGAAUAGUGGGUGAUCUUGGGGAAUUUAUGUCUGAUUAGUGCCUGAGCCUACUUUGCAUUAAUAUAGCUGGGUUUCCAGCUCAAUAGAAAGAGGAUGCCGAGGCCUUUUAAUAACAUUAUCACAGUCUUACGCUAGCAUUUGAUCCAUCAAGCAAGGAUCAACUCGAGGUCAGUGGUGAGAAGAAAGGAAAAUGAGCAUCUGCUUUGCCUAUGCUUAGUUCUGUAUUUAAAGAAAUACUGCAGCAGGAGAGUUUCUCUUGCAAACCAACACAGAGUAAGGCAGCAGAGGAAAAUAAUGCUAAGAUCCUUUAGCACAUUUACUAGGAAGCAAGGAUGCUGAAAUGAGCCAAACUGCUGCUUGUGCAAACAUUCUUAAAUCACUGUGGAAUCCUAUACAUCAGGGAGUUGUACUACAGGUGUUGUACUACAACUCCUAAGAUACUUGACUAUUGGCAAUGCUGGCUAAUGGGAGCUGGAAUCCAACAACCUACGGAGGGCCACAGGUUCUCCAUGCCUGCUAUGGUUAUUCAGAGGGAAGCAGAAACAGCUGGGUAGGGUGGAGCCACUGGCAUAUGAGUUGCUAUUGCAUACCAGGAGGGAGAGAGGUGAGGUGAUGGGGAGGUUGGCAUGGUGGAAACAAACUGGGCAUUGGAUUGGCUCUGCUGGUGCACUCGCACUGCACUGACCACUCUCCCCACCUUGGCCUUCUUAGUAAGCAACAGCAGCCCAUCUGUUGGGAAGCAAGCACUGCUGCUCCACCCCACGCAACAAACCACUUCUAUAAGUAAGUCCCUCUGUGUUCAACAGGGCUUACUUCCAGAGUGGGCAUUACUGCAAUCAAACAGUACAAGCCUAAGCAUGCUUUAGUUAGGAGUAGUGAUGUAUGGAAGUGAGAGCUGGACCAUAAAGAAGGCUGAUCGCCGAAGAAUUGAUGCUUUUGAAUUAUGGUGCUGGAGGAGACUCUUGAGAGUCCCAUGGACUUCAAGAAGAUCAAACCUAUCCAUUCUGAAGGAAAUCAGCCCUGAGUGCUCACUGGAAGGACAGAUCCUGAAGCUGAGACUCCAAUACUUUGGCCACCUCACGAGAAGAGAAAACUCCCUGGAAAAGACCCUGAUGUUGGGAAACAUGGAGGGCACAAGGAGAAGGGGACGACAGAGGAUGAGAUGGUUGGACAGUGUUCUUGAAGCUACAAACAUGAGCCUGACCAAACUGCGGGAGGCAGUGGAAGACAGAAGUGCCUGGCGUGCUCUGGUCCAUGGGGUCACGAAGAGUUGGACACGACUAAACGACUAAACAACAACAACAACAACAACGCUUCACUGUGCUCAGUGGGGCUGAUUCCCAAGUAUUAUAAUUUAAAGCAGCAUUUAAAACAAUGGUCUAAAUAAAAUAAAGAGCAGGUAUUAAUAUAAAUUAAAUACAGAUAAAAAUAGCAACACACAAACUGCAGCUGCAGGCUAGAAUCCUGGAAAGACAGGUUUUAACUGAGCACCAAAAUGUCAACAAUUAUGGGACCUGUAGUACCUCCAGGAGGAGGGCAUUCCAUAAUCAGGUGUCACAAAAAAAGAAGGCCUAUCUUGUGUCCCCACCAAUUCAUUUCGCCUGGUGAUUCAACAAACUAUAGUUCCCAGGAGUCCUUCUGGGGAGGCUAUGACUGCUAAAGUGGUAUGAUGGCGCUAUAAAAAUAUAGUGUGCCUGCGGCCACUAUCUCUGAGACCUGGAGGCUGAAAAACAGCUAUAAUGAAUAAUAUUAGUGGUUGAAAUACUUUUUCUCUUUCAGGGAAACAUUUAUCAAGUCACUGCAUUCUGAGUAUGAUAUUCUAUUUCAAAUAUUUUAAUCCCACCUUUCCGCUUUGCCAAAAACAUUCCUGUACACACUGUCUAUUUCUUGUGACUGAAUUUGACUUCCAGAUGGAUAAUAUUUAUACUUUCAGUAGCUGUAUUCACUCUGGUGGUGACCUGCUGGAUGUGUGCCUAGCAUCUGGUAGUAAUGAAACAUUUCCAGCUUUUGAGAGCAACCUCAUCGUCUAAUAAAUGAGUUUUUCCUGGUUCAAUUUAUUCUUCAUUUUUCUCAUUUGGUUUGUUCAUGAUAAUCCUUAGUUGGUUUAUGACUAACAUUUAUGCCGGCCUUAAGUAUUAUGAAUGAUGGAAAAAAUAGAGAGAAAGACAAAAUGGUCCAUGUUGUGAUGUACAUUACAUAGCUGAGAAUGAUUUCACAGUCAGAUAUUUAUAUGUGUUAAGGGGAUGUGACUUGAACAGUGAAUCUGCAUAGUGACCGGCUAUUGUACACAUUCACCAGGCAGAGAAUGUGCAUGUAAACCUCCAACAAAGAGGAAAUUGUGUGCAUUUCCUGGUCAAUAUACAUAAUCUCCAACAGGUCUUGGGAAAUGUGUAGCUAUUGACUGAAUUUUGUAGAGCCGCCAGCCAUGAUGCACAAUCUCCAUCAAUCCUUGGGGAAUGUACAUAUCUUGAUUGUAUUUUGUACAUUCUUCAAGCAGUAUGCAUAUUCUCUAGCCAGUAUGCAGAAUCUCUAAGAAAUGUGAUUCUCUAUUGCACUACCUGGGCUACUUCUGACCCACUACCUCUUCUUAUACGGCCCCAAACAUACCCUCCCACUCAUCAGCCAAGCAUCAGGGAAAAAACAGGCUCCAGGAAAAUAUCAACUUUUUUCCCUGUAGUUCAGCCACCAUUUCACCACUUAGCUGAGCAGCACAAAGAUUGCAAGGAGGGGCAAGUUUUAAACAUUCCCUCCCCCAGUUCCACAAUUUUGGUGGUAAUUUCCAUGUUCAAUGCUGCUAUUAAGCUUAGGAAAAUGUGUUACAUGCACAGCCCCCAGAGCUGUUGAGGAUUAUGCAUAACACCCAGAGAAUGAACAAAAUUCAGUUGAUACAUGCACAUUUCCCAGUACCUGCUGGGGAUUGUGCAUAAUGCCCGGAGAAUGUACAAAAUUCAGUUGAAAUAGGCACAUUUCCCAAGGCCUGUUGAAUCUUAUGGACUGGGAAAUGUGCACAAUAUCCUCUUCAAAGAAGAAUGAUUUGCACAUUCUCCACGAGGCCCAGUGAAUGCGCAAUGGCCAGUUGUUAUGCACAUUAACAUCUCAACUUACAUUCCCCUUAGCUGACAGGCAUGGCCAAACUUGGUCCGCCAGCUGUUUUGGGACUACAAUUCCCAUCAUCCCUGACCACUGGUCCUGUUGGCUAGGGAUGAUGGGAGUUGUAGUCCCAAAAUGGCUGGAGAGCCAAGUUUGGCCAUGCCUGGUUUAAAUGAUCAGAGCUGUGUCAAAGGGGAAGGGGAGGGAGGUUAAGAAGGCAUCCAAAAGUGUGUCAUGUCAAUCUCAUAGUUAAAUGAGCAAAAACCAAACAUUUGGACCAGGGGUAAACAACCUACAUCUCUAGGGCCAAACACAGCCCUUAAGCCUAGUUUCAUGUGAUGCUCAGUCUAACUUUGAAAUCUCUCUGUUCACCUCUCGCAAAAGCAACCCACCAGAUGACCACUGAGCAUGGAGAAAGAUAGGGAGAGAAAUGGGAAAGAGAAUGGGAAAGGGAGAAUGGGAUGGGAGAGAGAGAGAGAGAGAGAGAGAAUGGGGUGGCCGAAAGAGAGAAAAAGGGAGGGGGAGAGAGAAAUGGCGUGGUAGAAAGAGAGACAUUGAGAAAAGGAAAUAAUGCUGCCCCUGUUUACCAUUUGUAUACAGCUCCCCUCCCCCAGCUUACCCCAGUGGAAAUGAGGCCCUUGAGUGAAAAAAUGGUUGCUCACUCUGAUCUGGACUAUAAUAUAGAGAAAUUGCUCCCAUGUCCCCACCCUCCUUUUUCCCUCAGCUAGAGCAGGUUGGAAUCACGUGUUUGAUGAGAUAAUGUCUAGUUCUGCCUCGAAAGGUACCAGAAAGGAGACAAAUUACAAAAUGGGAUUACUGUUUUCAUGACAGGAUGUAUCUGGAAAAGAAGAAAGAAAGAAAGAGAGAGAGAGAGAGAAAGUUCUUUCUUUCUGUUAUUAGGUGUACUUCCUUUCCCAAAAGAUUUUACAAGAGUUGUUGAGAUCUUAGAAAGCAUUAAACCACUCAGCUGUACACUAGGAUAUUAUUGCCACUCAACCUUUUAUAGCACCUUUCACAGUUGUUUCUUCAGAGGAACAGGGAGGUGUAGAAGUUGUAAAAUGCCCAAGGCCAGCUAGUCCAGAAGCUGCCAUUUACCUAUGUGGAAAAUGGCACAAUAAUACUUAUUUACUGUGUGGUCAUGGAUAGAUAUGAGGUGAUAAGUGGAGGAGCUUUUCACUCCUCCACUGAAAGAUUUUGUGGAAAACGCUGACUGCAUUGUCUGAUUUCCAAGCUUCACUUAGCAACUAUAGACACAUUAAAAAGGGGGUGGGGGAUGGGGGAGAAGGGGAAAAAAGAAAGAAAUGUGCAUUAAGGAAGGAAGAAGCAACCUUGUUGCUAUGACAGUGGAUGUAUCUGAGAGCACUAAGAGCCACACAAGCUUUUAGGUAAACAAUGAAUGAUGGUCUGGCCAUGUAAAUUGACCUCCUGGGGAAAACAGGUGAAGAAGUGCAAGUCAUUUGGCAAAGUGCAAAACAUUUCAUAGAAUGUACCAUAAUCUUCUGAAGAAUAUAGAUAUUUCCAUCCUUCUUGGAUUUACAAGAGGAGGCUGCCUUCGGAGAUAAAGCUUUCGGACAGCUCUAUUUCAAGCUGGCCAGAGAUCUGAUGCAAGGCAGUGUGGCUGUACAGAAAGCAUGGGAAGCUGGCUUGCAUUGAGUCAGAACUCUGGUCUGUUUAGUUUGGAAUUGUCUACAGUGGUUUUUAAGGUCCUUCCCAGAUCUCAGACCUGGGAUGUUCUAAACUGGAGGUGUCAAGUGAUUGAGCAUGGAACCUGCUGCAUGCAAGGUUAUAUGGAAUAUUUUGUUAUAUGGAAUAUUUUGGUCAGGCUUAAUCAGCACUUUUUUUAAAAAAAAAACAACAACAGGAAAUUCAUUGGAGAACUUCUGUCUUCACCGUGGAAGACAUAGGACAGAUCUCCAUGUCUGAAUUAACUUUUGCAGGAAGAGAAUCUGAGGAGCUGAGCCAGAGAGUGAGGAAAGACAAAGUUCUAGGCCUCGUAGACAAAUAUAAAAAUGGGCAAAUCACCAGGUCUGGAUGGCAUCCACCCGAGAGUUCCAAAAGAACUCAAAUGUGAAACUGCUGAUCUUCUGACAAAAAUAUGUAGUUUGUCCCUAAGAUCAGCCUCUGUUGCUGAGGACUGGAAAGUAGCCAAUGUAACAUCAAUUUUUAAAAAGGGAUCUGGGGAAAUUGGUGGAAAGCAUUGUUAAAUAUAAAAUACAAAUGG
rnacentral:lncRNA from 1 species